AUUGAACGCUGGCGGCAGGCCUAACACAUGCAAGUCGAACGGUAACAGGAAACAGCUUGCUGUUUCGCUGACGAGUGGCGGACGGGUGAGUAAUGUCUGGGAAACUGCCUGAUGGAGGGGGAUAACUACUGGAAACGGUAGCUAAUACCGCAUCACGUCGCAAGACCAAAGAGGGGGACCUUCGGGCCUCUUGCCAUCGGAUGUGCCCAGAUGGGAUUAGCUAGUAGGUGGGGUAACGGCUCACCUAGGCGACGAUCCCUAGCUGGUCUGAGAGGAUGACCAGCCACACUGGAACUGAGACACGGUCCAGACUCCUACGGGAGGCAGCAGUGGGGAAUAUUGCACAAUGGGCGCAGGCCUGAUGCAGCCAUGCCGCAUGUAUGAAGAAGGCCUUCGGGUUGUAAAGUACUUUCAGCGGGGAGGAAGGGAGUAAAGUUAAUACCUUUGCUCAUUGACGUUACCCGCAGAAGAAGCACCGGCUAACUCCGUGCCAGCAGCCGCAGUAA
rnacentral:rRNA from 1 species